AGCCGGGGAAGAAGAAGAAGAGGCGGCGGUGGCGGCAACGGCGCGCGCGCCUGCCUGGAUCCCGUUCGCGAGGAGGCGGCGGCGGAGGAGGAUGUGGCGCGCGGAAGGGAAAUGGCCGCCGAAAACAAGCCGGAAGAUGUUCAUGGGAACAG